rnacentral:rRNA from 1 species
GACGAACGCGGCGGCGUGCCUAAUACAUGCAAGUAGAACGCACAGUUUAUACCGUAGCUUGCUACACCAUAGACUGUGAGUUGCGAACGGGUGAGUAACGCGUAGGUAACCUGCCUGGUAGCGGGGGAUAACUAUUGGAAACGAUAGCUAAUACCGCAUAAUAUUAAUUAUUGCAUGAUAAUUAAUUGAAAGGUGCAAUUGCACCACUACCAGAUGGACCUGCGUUGUAUUAGCUAGUAGGUGAGGUAACGGCUCACCUAGGCGACGAUACAUAGCCGACCUGAGAGGGUGAUCGGCCACACUGGGACUGAGACACGGCCCAGACUCCUACGGGAGGCAGCAGUAGGGAAUCUUCGGCAAUGGACGAAAGUCUGACCGAGCAACGCCGCGUGAGUGAAGAAGGUUUUCGGAUCGUAAAGCUCUGUUGUAAAGAGAAAGAAACGGGUGUGAGAGUGGAAAAGUUCCACCACUGGGGACGG